rnacentral:lncRNA from 10 species
AUGGAUGGGACAGAUGAGACUUGGGGUGGAUGGCCCACUUACUCAUUCACUCAUUCAUUCAUUCACUUAGUUGAAUGUUCUGAGGGCUGCCCAGGGCUUCCUACCAUGGAGAGUGAGCAUGGUCUCCACCCUCUCCAGGCUGUGGGCAGCCCUGGGGAGAGGGAACCAGCCAGGAGGACCAAAGCCUCUGGCAGAGAACUGGGUGGCGAGAGGAGGCCUGGCAUUCUCUGCUCAGGACAGUUCAGGAGCGCAAGUGAGUUGACCCAUGAUCAUUUUUAUUGACUGAUUGACUGCUUUAGAGACAGAGUCUCGCUCUGUCGCCCAGGCUGGAGUGUAGUGGUGCAAUCUGGGCUCACUGCAACCUCUGCCUCCUGGGUCCAAGCGAUUUUCCUGCCUCAGCCUCCCAAAUAGCUGGGACUACAGGUGUGCGUCAACACGCCUGUUUAAUGUUUGUAUUUUUAGUAGACACUGGGUUUCACCAUGUUGGCCAGGCUGGUCUCAAACUCCUGACCUCAAGUGAUCCGCCCGCCUCGCCCUCCCAAAGUGCUGGGACUACAGGCGUGAGCCACCGUGCCUGGCCCCCAGUGUUAUUUUAAUUAUGUGGGGGUAGAUAUCAUUUUUACCCAUGGCAACUGAUCAUGGAGCCCAGAGUUAAACCACCUUUCACAUACUGAGGAAAGACGGGCUGAUCCUUCCACAGUAUUACAGUGACAGCUUCCAAAAGACCGCCCUGUGCCUUUCUUCUGGAUUAUCAUGGCACCCCCCAGGACACGUUGGCCUCGUUGUCCUCACCAGCACUGGCUGUCUUCUCGAAGCUCCCUUGGGGUAGGGCAGGCUAACUUAUUUCCGCUGUACAAAAGGGGAAACCCUGGGUCAGGAGGUACAGAAGUGCCUUCCUAAGAGCAUAU